rnacentral:rRNA from 1 species
GUGAGGAAUAUUGGUCAAUGGGCGGGAGCCUGAACCAGCCAAGUCGCGUGAAGGAAGAAGGAUCUAUGGUUCGUAAACUUCUUUUGCAGGGGAAUAAAGUGCGGGACGUGUCCUGUUUUGUAUGUACCCUGAGAAUAAGGAUCGGCUAACUCCGUGCCAGCAGCCGCGGUAAUACGGAGGAUCCGAGCGUUAUCCGGAUUUAUUGGGUUUAAAGGGUGCGUAGGUGGUUUGAUAAGUCAGCGGUGAAAGUUUGCAGCUUAACUGUAAAAAUGCCGUGGAAACUGUCGGACUUGAGUGUAAAUGAGGUAGGCGGAAUGCGUGGUGUAGCGGUGAAAUGCAUAGAUAUCACGCAGAACUCCGAUUGCGAAGGCAGCUUACUAAGCUACAACUGACACUGAAGCACGAAAGCGUGGGGAUCAAACAGGAUUAGAAACCCGAGUAGUCC